GUGUCAGCCGCCGCGGUAAGACGAACCGUCCAAACGUUAUUCGGUAUCACUGGGCUUAAAGCGUGCGUAGGCGGCCUAGAAGGUGAGAUGUGAAAGCCCUCGGCUCAACCGAGGAACAGCGUUUCAAACCACUAGGCUUGAGGGAGACAGGGGUGAUGGGAACAGUUGGUGGAGCGGUGAAAUGCGUUGAUAUCAACUGGAACACCGGUGGCGAAAGCGCAUCACUGGGUCUCUUCUGACGCUGAGGCACGAAAGCUAGGGGAGCGAACGGGAUUAGAUACCCCGGUAGUCCUAGCUGUAAACGAUGAGCACUGGGCUGGGGGGACUUUCACAUCCUCCCGGCCGUAGCGAAAGCGUUAAGUGCUCCGCCUGGGGAGUAUGGUCGCAAGGCUGAA
rnacentral:rRNA from 1 species